AGCAGGGAGCAGUCUCUGAGUGCAAACCAUGGCUGCUUUCUCAUCUGUUAAGUGGUAACCCCCGAGUUCUGGUGGAGUGAUCUUUGUGCUGUUGUGGGGAUGCCUUGAAAAUGUCACUUGCUGAAAAAACAGCAGCACCCUAAGUGGCUUGGCAUUUGCAUACUACAAAUGACAUGUGUUCAUCUGGUGAAAUCACAUGGAAAACCAUAUGGCAGCAUCCACGCUUGGACAGGCAUUUGACUUGACUAAAGUAAUUUCUCAGCAAGCUUGUCCUUGUUGACUGCAGGAUUUUGGGGAUUAUAACAGGAAUGUGGACAAGGCUGUCAUGUCCUUCAGGAUUUUUAGUGUGAUGUGCAAAGUCUCCAGACUGACUUUUGAGCAUGCUCCAAUUUGGCUGCAAGAAGAUGG